UUGAAUGGCAAACCUCGUAUGGAAAAGUACAUGAAUUUUUACGCGAUCGCUUUUUUUUGUUUCUUUCUUUUACAAACGGCAAAAUCAAGUUUCGUUAAUUUAUUGAUUGCAACGGCGCGUAGGUUGUAGUUUUGGAAAAAGAAAUUAAUAAAAUAAAUAGUUGCUUUGGCAUGUUUAUGAUGGACAAACAAAGUCAGAAAUCGAAAAAAGCAGCGAGCAAAGUGAACCGCUGAUGCGCAUAAUAAUAGAGUAGACUAACAAACGUAACAUAAACAGAAAUGAUAUU